GCGUGCGUGCAGGGCGUUGUGCGGCGCGGGCCGGUUUCUGCGGCGCUUGGCGCCCCCCGGCGGCAACGGGGCUUCAAUGCCACGGCCUGACUGGAGCGUCCGCCAUGGAGUCGCAGAAAGAGGCGCGAACACUCCAGGAGCCAGUCCAGCGGCCGCCUGGGGCCUCAAGGUCUCAGACACCGAAGGACAAGGAGCGGCGGGAGCGCAGCGCAGUGCCGGAGGCGGCUGCCCUGGGCGCAGAGGCGGACGACACCAGUGCGGACGGGCUAUGGGAGCUGCCGGUGGAGCCGGCCGAUCGGAGGCCCGAGUGCAGCCGCUGCAGCCGGCCUCAGAAAGUGUGUUUGUGUCCAUUUCUCCCAGCACACCCUCUGCCUAUCUCUACCCACUUGUAUAUAAUUCAGCAUCCAGCAGAGGAAAACAAAGUAUUGCGGACAGUUCCUCUACUAGCAGCGUGCCUCCCCCAGGACAAGUGCAAAGUAAAGAUCGGUCGUCGCUUCAGUGAAGAAAGAGAUCCUGAACUUUCAACUAUUUGCCAGAAGUCUGGUACAUUAAUAUUAUAUCCAGGGGCUGAAGCUGCUAAUUUGGAAGAAUUUAUAUUAGAUUCUCCUGUUUAUCCUUCUACAAUUAUCAUCAUUGAUGGUACAUGGAGCCAGGCUAAGGACAUUUUCUAUAAGAAUUCCUUGUUUCGACACCCCAAACAGCAAGAAGACUUCCAUUUGCAAGCCAGGAAGAGAGCUCUCACCAGGACCCUGACAAUGCAGGUGCAGUUAAAAACUAGCAUUUCUAGUCAGUAUGUAAUUCGGAUGCAGCCAACUAAUAGAUGCCUUUCUACACUGGAGUGUGCAGCUGUUGCUCUUUCCAUCCUAGAGAAAAAUAAUUACAUACAAGAGAUUACUGGGGAAGACAUGCUAAAGAGCACAGAUGCUCAUUGGAAUAACAGCCAGAUUUGAUGUGGAAAAGGACUAAAAAGAAAGUGGAGUGAGGAAGAAGUUUGUUGAUUUGAAGGGACCGAGUUAGGGAGUGAAGUCCAGGUAAAAACUGAGGGACACAGAAAAGAAGACAAUGAGAUGAUGACUGUGUCGGGCUGAGAAUGAGCAGUGCAUUUCGGGCUGCUGAUUCGUACGAUGGACUGAAUAUUUGUGUCCUCCUAAAAUUAUACAUUGAAAUUCUAACCCACAGUGUAUUUGGAGAUGGAGAAUUUAAGAGGGUACAGUAGAAGUCACCAGUCUACAACCUAGAAGAGGCCCUUCACUAUGCUGGCACCCUGAUCUCAUAUUUCCAGCUUCCAGAACUCAAAGCCGACAGGUGGUUCAGCUACCACUCCUCAGGCUUAAAAUGGAAACAAAUUCAGAAACCAGCUCUAUCCUCCUCACUCCACACCAUCAACACAAGAAGAGAGGCUAUCCCCUCACUCACAUUUUGGAGAGGAGAUGCUUUCUUUCCCCAAGGGGAAUUGGAAAAAAUCAGAUGGGAGUAGUGAGCUUUUUACCAGUGGUCCAUGUUGCAGUAACCAGCCAUCUAUACCAACUAUGUUGAGUGUAUAUACAAUGAGUGAAAACAGCAAUUAAUACCAAACUCAGGCAAGACUGUAACAAAUCAGGCAAACUGGCCUAGUCAUAAGGGUAGUGUUUGUUCUUUUCUUGCUCCUUGAGCCCCACCCUGACAGGGCAGCAAGUGGCGGUGGGUAGAAGGGGAGAGGAGAGGUAUGGAAGUCAAACCCUCCACUUCAGGUGAGUGAAGUCAAAGCUCCUGCCUAUGCUUGGGGCAGGGUUAGGAGUAGAGAGAAAAAAUUUGAAUCAGAUGUGAUAUGUAAGUCUUUUUAAAAAAAAUAUAAAUAAGACCAAAUCAUGGAAAUAGAAAGGGUACUGUUUGUACAAAUCAGAGUGUCUGAAAACUUAAGGAACUGGGUCAAGAUUAUAUUAAGGAAGGCACUACUUAUAUAAGACAUCUAGGAAUAGCUACUGCCUAAAAAGUCACCUUUAUAUCCCAAUGAGUUGACAGGGUUCAAUAAGCCAGUUACAUAUAUCUACAAUAAAAAAAUUUCAAGCAGUACAAGAAGAGAUCAUAAUUAUACUAUAUAAAAAAGCCAUAAUAGAUAUGUCAACACAACACUGAGGGUCUUGCAGUCUUUUUUCUUCUUCUUCAUAUAUAUAUAUAUGUAUAUAUAUAUAUAUAUACAUACACACACACACACACAUACACAGACACACCAAUAAUAAGGGCUGAAGUUGAGGCAGCAAUUAAUAGGGCUGAAGUUGAGGCAGCAACCAAUUCUUCCAGAUUUAGGCUUGGGAGGGUGCAAGUGUCCAGGAAUUCAUCCAUUUCUUUCAGGUUUACUGGUUUAUGUGCAUAGAGUUGUUUGUAGUAAUCUCUGAUGGUGGUUUGUAUUUCUGUGGAAUCUGUGGUGUAUCCCCUUUAUCAUUUUUUAUUGCAUCUAUUUGGUUAUUCUCUCUUUUUUAUUAAUCUGGCUAGUGAUCUGUCUAUUUUGUUGAUCUUUACAAAAAACUAGCUCCUGGAUUUAUUGAUUUUUUGAAGGGUUUUUUGUGUCUCUAUCUCCUUCAUUUCUGCUCUGAUCUUAGUUAUUUUGUAUCUUCUGCUAGUUUUUGAGUUUUUUUGAUCUUGCUCCUCUAGCUCUUCAAAUUUUGAUGAGAGGAUGCCAAUUUUAGAUCUUUCAUUGCUUCUCAUGUGGGCAUUUAUUGCUAUAAAUUUUCCUCUAGACACUGCUUUAAAUGUGUCCCAGAGAUUCUGAUAUGUUGUGUCUUCAUUCCCACUGGUUUUGAAGAACAUCUUUAUUUCUGCUGUCAUUUCAUUGUUUAUCCAGUCAACAUUCAAGAGCCAGUUGUUCAGUUUCCAUGAAGUUGCAUAGUUCUGAGUUAGUUUCUUAAUCCUGAGUUCUAGUUUGAUUGCAGUGUGUUCUGAGAGACUGUUUGUUAUGAUUUCCGUUCUUUUGCAUUUGCUGAGAAUUGAUUUACUUCCAAUUAUGUGGUCAGUUUUAGAGUAGGGGUUGAAGUGGUGCCGAGAAUAAUGUAUAGUCUGUGGAUCUGGGGUGGAGAGUUCUGUAAAUGUCUAUUAGGUUUGCUUGGUCCAGAUCUGAGUUCAAUUCCUGAAUAUCCUUGUUAAUAUUCUGUCUCGUUGUUCUGUCUAAUAUUGACAAUGCAGUGUUAAAGUCUCCCACUAUUAUUGUGUGGGAGUCUAAGUCUCUUUGUAGGUUGUUAAGAACUUGCUUUAUGUAUCUGGGUGCUCCUGUAUUGGGUGUGUAUAUAUUUAGGAUCGUUAGCUCUUCUUGUUGCAUUGAUCCUUUUACCAUUACGUAAUACCCUUCUUUGUCUCUUUUGAUCUUUGUUGCUUUAAAAUCUAUUUUAUCAGAGUCUGGGAUUGCAACUCCUGAUUUUUUUUGGUUUCCAUUUGCUUGGUAAAUCUUCCUUCAUCCCUUUAUUUGAGCCUAUGUGUGUCCUUGUACCUGAGAUGGGUUUCCUGAAUAUAGCACACCUGUGGGUCUUGAAUUUUUAUCUAAUUUGCUAAUGUGUGUCUUUUGAUUGGGGCAUUUAGCCUAUUUACAUUCAAAGUUAAUAUUGUUCUGUGUGAAUUUGAUUCUACCAUUUUGAUGCUAGCUUGUUGUUUUGCCCAUUAGUUGAUGCAGUUUCUUUAUUAUGUCAAUGUGCUCUUUACCAUUUGGUAUGUUUUUGGAGUGGCUCAUACUGGUUGUUCCUUUCUAUGCAUAGUACUUCUUUCAGGAGCUCUUGAAAGGCAGACCUGGUGGUGACAAAAUCUCUCAGGAGUUGCUUCUUUGAAAAGGGUUUUAUUUCUCCUUUGCUUCUGAAGCAUAGUUUGGCUGGUUAUGAAAUUCAGUUGAAAGUCCUUUUUUUUUUUUAAGAAUGUUGAAUAUUGGCCCCUAUUCUCUUCUGGCUUGUAGGGUUUCUGCCAAGAGAUCCACUGUGAGUCUGAUGGGCUUCCCUUUGUGGGUAACCUGACCUUUCUCUCUAGCUACCCUUAGCAUUUUUUUCUUCAUUUCAACCCUGGUGAAUCUGACGAUUAUGUGCCUUGGAGUUGGUCUUCUUGAGGAAUAUCUUUGUGGUGUUCUCUGUAUUUCCUGGACUUGAAUAUUGGCCUGCCUUGCUAGGUUGGGGAAGUUCUCCUGGAUAAUAUCCUGAAGGGUGUUUUCCAGCUUGGAUUCAUUCUCUCCAUCACAUUCAGGUACACCUAUCAAACAUAGAUUAGGUCUUUUCACAUGAUCUUACAUUUCUUGGAGGCUUUAUUCAUUUCACAUGAUCUUAUAUUUCUUGGAGGCUUUGUUAAUUUUACUCUUUUUUCUCUAAUCUUGCCUUCUCAUUUUAUUUCAUUGAGUUUUAUUCUCUGAUAUCCUUUCUUCUGCUUGGUUGAUUUGGCUAUUAAAACUUGUGUAUGCUUUGUGAAGUUCUCAUGUUGUGUUUUUCAGCUCCAUCAAUUCAUUUCUAUUUUUCUCUAAUCUGUUUAUUCUUGUUAGCAUUUAGUCAAACCUUUUUUUCAGGGUUCUUAGUUUCUUUGCAUUGGGUUAGAACAUGUUCGUUUAGCUCAAAGAAGUUUCUUAUUAUCCAAAUUUUGAAGCCUGUUUCUGUCAAUUUAUCAGACUCAUUCUCCAUCUAGCUUUGUUCCCUUGCUGGUGAGGAGUUGUGAUCCCUUGGAGGUGAAGAGGCAUUCUGGUAUUGGGUCUUUUCAUCUUUUUUGCACUGGUUUCUUCCCAUCUUUGUGGAGUUAUUUAUCUGUGGUCUUUGUAUUUGGUGACUUUUGGAUGGGGUCUCUGGAUGUCCUUUUUGUUGAUGUUGAAGUUAUUUCUUUCUGUUUUUUAGUUUUCCUUCUAACAGUCAGGCCCCUCUGCUAUAGGUCUGCUGGAGGUCCACUCCCAACCCUGCUUACCUGGGAAUCACCUGCAGUGGCUGCAGAACAGUAAGGGUUGCUGUCAGUUUCUUCUUCUGUUAUCUUUGUCCCAGAAGGAUAACCACCAUAUGUCAGCCUGAGCUCUCCUUUAUGAGGUGUUUCUUUGGAUAUACGAGGCUUGUGGAGCUGCUUGAGGAGACAGUUUGUCCCUUAUAGGAGCUCAAGCACUGAGCUGUGAGCUCUGUUCUUCUGUUCAGAGCUGCUGGGCAGGUACAUUUAAGUGUGCUGCAGCGGAACUCAUAACCACCCUUUUUCCCCAUGUGCUCACUCCUGGAAGGUGGGACUUUAUUUAUAAGUUCCUGUCAUGCUGCUGCCUUUUUUCCAAGAUGCCCUGCCCAGCAAAAAGGUAGCCUAGUCACAGUCUGCCAGCAGAGGCAUUGCUGAGCUGCUGUGGGCUGUGCCCAGCUGUUCUGUGAACUUCCUUGUGGUUUUGUUUAUAGAGGUAUAGUUAGAACUGUCUUGGUAAUGGCAGUCUGCCUCAGUAAUGGUUGACUGCCUCGGAAAUGGCAGAUUGCCUCAAUAAUGGCAGUCUGCCUUGGUAGUGGUAGAUUGCCUCGGUAAUGGUGGACACCCUUCUCCCCACAGAGCUGGACCAGCCUGGGUCCAACUGUGCUUGUUGUGAAACUCUCAGUCAAGAGUGUUUCAGAUUGCUGGUCUUUGUGGCGGUGUGACCCACUGAGCCAGAUCACUUGGCUCUCUGUUUCGGCUCCCAUUUUUUCAGUUGAAUGGGUGACUCUGUCUCCCAGGCAUUCCAUGUGCCAGUUGAAACGGUACCCAGAUUUGUGUGAGUUUUUGUGCAGAGACCUGCUGCGCUGGCUGAAACAGCCAUGCUGGAGACUCGUGGCAUUUUCCAACCAGGAAUCUUCUGGUCUGUGGGCAGUAAAAACUCAUUUGGAAAUGUGCUGAUCCCUCACCCUCUGCAUUCUCGCUGGGAACUGUACUCCAGAGCUGUUCCUAUUUGGCUAUCUUGAAUCAAGAACCUCCUUCUUUCUUCUUAUGGGAAAAUCUUCACAUGGGACAGGUGAAUCAGGAUGUUUGGAGCUUCUUGGGUACCUCCUGCUUUAGGGAGUCUCCAUUACUGCAGAAAGCUUCUCGCAGGCCUAGGGUGUGAGUAUUCAGGAAGGUCAGCAACAAUGCUUUUCUAAACUGGAGCUCAGAAGGAAAGCUCCAUUAGCCUUCAUCAGAUCCACAUGACUUACUUUAAUGUCAGUAUGUAAAGGUCUUUUUUGAAUGACUGAGAAUUCUAAGAAAGGUUGUAUAGAGGUCAAGGUUCUAGUUAACUCAGAACUUCCUAAGGGAAGGCAUUUCAAAUUUGUGAUGUGGAUGCUGCCUGUACCACUGACUGGGCUCAUACCCUGCCCACACCCCCACCAAACACUUGUUAUGCAAUCCCGUUUUUUGGUCUCUUAGUCUUCUUGGUCUGAAAGACAACUCUAUUCCUUUCCAUGGGAGAUUUCUCUGUCUGGGUUUCUUUUGGCUUCUCCCAGUUUGCAAAAUGUCUGAGGCUGUGUCCUCUUGAGGAUUAUCCUUCUCUGCACUUCAUGAAGGCUCUGGACUGAAAGGGGCUGUGUCUUCCUACCUCUGCAGGACUAGCUAGCUACCUAAUUUUCUGACCCUGGUAUAAAAUGAUAAUGUGAAACAUUUUGUUAAAAAAUUAUUAUGAAUUUUGAGAUAGUGGCAGCAGAGCCCUAAGCCAGAGCCCUUCUCAGCAUGACGUCCUGUGUGACUGCACUGGUCUCAUGCCCAGGAAGCUGGCCCUGCCCUUCUGUGAGAGCUGGAGCCCAGCUGCUGCCUUUACUGGGUCAUCUCUAAAAGGGGUACAGUGUUCAAAAUCAUCAAUUUUCCUCAGAGACACUGUAGUCAGUACAUUUCCAGGAAAGAACACCCCCUGGCAUGACUCUGACUUUGCCCUUGAGGAACAAAACACAGCCUGUGGUGGCACUGAGAUGCCUUUGAGUCUUCACUAUCUACCUGGACCUGAUAGCAUCCCAAAUGAGAAAAACACACACAUUGGCUUCUAAUUCUCUCUUGCCCAAGGAAUGGUGCUGGUGCCACUUGAUUUAUUUUGAUUCAUUCUUUCUCUGACAGAAGGAGAGGAGAGAAUUUUUAAUUCUUUUUUUUGUGUGUGAUAAAAUAUACAUAACAUCAAAUAUACCAUCUCAACCAUUUUCAGGUGCCUAGUACAGUGGCCUCAAGUACAUUCAUACUAUUGUGCAGCCAUGACUACUAUUCAUUCCACAACAUUUUCAUCACCUCAAAUUCAAUUCCUUUUAUUGCAUCUAUUUCCCUGGACCAGAAACCCCUUCAAAGGCUGAGAACAUGACUUAGUCAUCUUUUAAUAUCUGUGGUCAUAGACACUCAAAAUGCUUAUUAAACUGCAUUUACAUUCAGCAGCGAUAAACAGAGUAGAAAGCUGCCGUAGCAUUACCUGUGGAAAUAAUGAAAGCCUGUGAUUCAGUGAGUGCUGCUUGCCUUUGUUAUCAAUGCCACCCUUUCCUUUCCCAGGAAAAAUGUGAAUAGAGUUUUUCAUAUGUACACUAUUAAUAUCCUUUAUGAUGUCCUGCUGCCUUCUAAUUUAUAAAAUAUUCAAGAAUUUCCAGUAAACUGAGGAAAAUGCAACUAAACAAAGCUCGUGCCUUUAAUCCUUUCAUCAAAACAAAACAAAACACACACACACACACACACACACACACACACACACACACCCAGAGAAUAAUUAACUACUAGUAUUUACUUGCAUUCCAUCCUGAGUUCUUCCAUGGGUCAAUUCCUUUUUCAAAUGAACAAGAAUUUUACUUUAUCUAAAGUUUUUGUUAGGUAAUGUGAGGAAACCACUUUUUGUCUGUUUGAAAACUAUUUGGUUAAGUGUGUCUAAUAUGCAUAUUUAGGAAAGAAAGGACACACAGUCCAAUCGUUGUUCACCUUUUAAAGGAUCACCUAAAAGAAUUCAGUAAAUAUUUUUAUAUGAUACUUUGAUGUUUAGAGGCUGGAGACAAAUUAGCAAAUUAGUAAAAACAGAUGUCAAGGAAAUGUUUUGACUGGAGGAAGAUGGCCAGUGGGUUCUUAUGGUCCUGGAUCUAAAUAAAUGGUUUGAAAUGAUAAGUGACAAGAUGCCAAAGGGAGGAAUGUUGCAAUUGUUAGAUGGAAGUAUGUCCAAAAAGAAUUAUUCCUUUCUUAAAUAUUUAAGCAAACAGGUAUAGGCCAAAAUAAGGCAGCCUAUAGGCUUUUUCAAGCAAAGCUCUUCUGAUGUACUGCUGUUAUAUAUAUUUCUUAGACACAUUUUUGAUUGUUAGAAAAGAUUGAGGGAAAAUACACUUGGGCCAAGAAAGGAUUCUCAAUAGAACUGUCAUGAGGAGCAAGCUGUAUCUCCCCUUUUCUUCAUAAGAGGCAUCAAUAUUACCUUCUAGCCAUUUUUUUGGAUACUCACUAUUAUACCUAGGAAUUUAUCAUAGUUCUCAAAGUGAGAGAAAAAAUAAAGAACCAUUUGUCUAUAAGAAUCUUGUCAUUGGAGUCAACUGAUAAUCAUGUAUGAAGCUGACUCAGGAAUUUCUUAACAUUUGCUGUUGAGUACGAUUCCUUUAUAUUGUGUUCUAAAUUAUAGCUAUGUUAGAAAGCAGUUCACUUUGAUCGUCACCUUCUCCUGGGUCUGAAGAAAAGGUUUUGACUGUGUCAGUGUUCAAGAUUUAGUAGGAGUUGGUGCCAUUUUCAGAUCCAGGAGUGAAAUCUCUGUAACUUAAUGGCAUAAGGUCUUUAAAAGCAAUACAGAAAGUUACAUACAUGUAAAAGCCUUAAUUCAUUAAAUCUUAGUUUUUUAAAGCAUUCAAAAAGCUAAUAACGAUGACAUAGAAAUUAUUUUGAUAACAUGUAAAAUAUUUUUCUUAGACUAGUUACCAAAAGGCAAAGAAAGAUCUUCUGCCGUGUGAUUGCUCCUUUUUAUAGGAAGCCCAUUUAGAUGACCUGAUGAAGAACAUACUGGAAUUAAUCAGACACAGGAGGUGUGUGUUCAGCAUCAUAAGUGAACGUUAUAUUACAGAGGAAACAAGAAACUAGAAAACUAGUACUUUGAGCAUGGGAACAGGAUGAGAAGUUUUCUGGUUACAUGGAGCAAUUCAGACAUAUCAAGAAAAGCCAAGAGUACAGAAUCAAGUUUUACUGGAGGAAAGCAUUGCUUUCUAAUCCUUCAAGAGAAACAUUCCUGACACAAUCAUGGUUAGCACAGAGGAAAAAAAAUUACAGGAGCUGGAGAAAAAGUUGAAGGAGAGAGAGUUAUUAUCUCAGGCCUUUGCAAGGGGACAAAACAGCUAAAAUAGCCAGGCUCAACAGAGUUGCACUUCUGAGAUAUGAAUCUGAUAAGUUUUUAAAAUAUGAGCAUAGCAUCAAAAUCAAAACCUUCUGUAAUUUUAUUAACCGCAAAGCACUAUAUUAAAGAAACCUGUUCUAAUCCAGGGACCAAUCCUUUUUACAUCUCUCUCCUCUGUUUACUGGUUCUUUUCUACCUUGUUUCAUGAAUAACCUUCCAAGUCCAUAAUUUGAAUUAACCUUUAGAUAACUUCUGAAUUAAAUAAAAUUAUUCUUUUUCUCAAUAAAACCACAUAUUUUAUGACACAUUCUAUAUUCAGAAUUAUAUAUUAACUAGAAUUCUUAUGCUCAAUAACCUUAAGUUUUAGUGAAAACCCUGGAAGAAAAAAUCCUGAACUAUAAUAUUUUAUAGAUGAGAACAUUUCACAUUUUUUUAAAAAAGAAACUGUUUCCCCAUAUUAUAAUCAUUUCUUACUUAGAAUGACCCAGACAUCUGAUGAGCAUCCAAAAUAAUUUCAGUAUUUUAAAUAACAUUAAAGAGUUUACCUACAUUUAUCCUAUUUACAUUUUGUUUAUUUUAGCAGUUUAUUUAAGUUACUUAUGAGAACUGAUAUAUUAGACAAAGCUUGUUAUCAUUUUCUUGUUAACCAUUCUUACAACCUGUGAAUAUCAGGUGUUCAUUUAAGUAACAAUGUUAAAUAUAUGGGUAUUUUGCCAAUAAUUCAGAUUCAGCUGUUUUUGAAAAUCAUACUAACAAUAUUAAAUUAGCCUUAUUUAUAAAAAAAAUCACACAAAGAUCAUUCUGUUCAUGACUAGGUUUAUAGUCUUGUAACAUUUUGUGCCAAAUCAUAGUUUAAAUAUUUUUAAACACCAAGCAGAGAGAAAUAUAAAACUCAGACAAAAAUGUGUGCUGAUAAUUAUGAAGACAUUUCUAUUUUUAUUUUACCAAUAAUUUUAAAGCUAACUUGUUUAUUAAAGAUUUACUUAAUUCACAGUAACUUGAAAAUGCUUAGACUUAUCUACUUAAUUUAUGAGUGCUCAUUUGUUUAUUUAUGUAUUAUUAGUAUUAUUUUUGACACAUGGUUUCACUCUAUCACUCAGGCUGGAGUGCAGUGGUACGGUCUCAGCUUACUGCAACCUCUGCCUCCUGAGCUCAAGUGAUCCUCUUGACUCAGCAUCCCAGGUAGCUGGGACUACAGUUUACACCAUCAUGCCCAGCUAAUUUUUGUAUUUUCUGUAGAGAUGGGGUUUCAUCAGGAUGGCAAGGCUGGUCUCGAGAUCUCGUGGGUUCAAGUGAUCUGCCUGCUUCAACCUUCGAAAGUGCUGGGAUUACAGGAGUGAGCCACUAAGUCUGGCCAGAGUAUUCCUUUAUUUAAAAGACAAUUUAGUACUCUGUAAAAACAACACAUAACAUUUAGUCACAUAUACACACAAAGAAAUAAAGAUCCAGCGCGGUGGCUCAAGCCUGUAAUCCCAGCACUUUGUGAGGCUGAGUCGGGUGGAUCACGAGGUCAAGAGAUCGAGACCAUCCUGGUCAACAUGGUAAACCCCGUCUCUACUAAAAAUAGAAAAAAUUAGUUGGGCAUGGUGGCGUGUGCCUGUAAUCCCAGCUACUCAGGAGGCUGAGGCAGGAGAAUUGCCUGAACCCAGGAGGCAGAGGUUGCGGUGAGCCGAGAUCGGGCCAUUGCACUCCAGCCUCGGUAAUAAGAAUGAAACUCCGACUCAAAAAAAAAAAAAGAUCCAAUAGCUUUUACCUUGGAAUUCUAGCCAUGAGUUAUGAAUAUGUUCACAUGGCUAAACUUUGUUUGCCCUAAGGGGUAAUUCAAUGAAGGCUGUGAGCCAAAAUUUUGGGUAAAGCAAUUUUCAUAGAAGUUUGAUUUUUAAAGGCCAAAUCUCUUUAGACUUCAAAUAAUACUAGGGCCAAACAGCACCCAAAACAUCAUGUAAUAAUCAGCUGACACUGCUUAGAACAGCAGCACAAAAGCCUGGAUGCAAGAAACUACAAUCCUGCUUUCCCAUUAAGGACAGUACUACAAUUCAAAGAUUUUCCAAGAUCAGGCAAAAUCAGGCAUGUUUAAGGUGCUAUGGCCAUAGACUUUCCCUCAUUCCACUGGCCCACAGCUGCAUUCAGACCAACCCUGAAAUGCACUCAAGUGGGCUACAUUGUGGGAUUGAACCCCAGCCUCCCAUGACUGCAUUGACAUGCACAUAAGCAGUCACCAAGACACAGUCCAACUGUGGCAGCAAUCGACAAGCCCCAAGAGUGUCCAGCCUGAGUCAGGGGCUUUCCUCUCUCAGCUGCUUGACUUUUUCAACCUCAAAUGGAAAUUUCUUCAGAAUUUCCCAAAUCAAGACGAGCAGUGCUUGCUUUUUGGAUCCACAGAAGACACUCACCUGUCCAGAUGCAGAUGUUCACAUACAGACACAAAUAAGCAAUUAUUAACAAGCCCCAAGAGUGUCCAAACUGAAACAGUAAGGGAGAUUUCCUCUCUGCAUUGGUUAGGCUUGUUCAACCUACAAAAAGAUUCCUCAAAUACAGAGGAGCCAUAUUGGCUAUCAGCUACCCAUAAAAGACACUUAUUUGUUCAGAAACAGAUGUCAGAUUUCAAGGGCUAUUCUUCCUAGGCAAUCAGGAUCAUAAUUGGGGCUGGCAGUAAGAGAGAGACUGAAACUCACCUUUGGCCAAAAAAAAAAAAAAAAAAAAAAAAGAUAGGCAGCUACCUAGGAGGUCUUCUGAAACUCUUCUGGCCUGUGACCAGUGAACUGUGAGCAACACAUUCCCAGUCAGGAAACCAAAAUCAGUUACUAAAAUAUCAGGGGAGGACCCUGUUGCUUCCUGCGUAGAAAGCCAAUCACUGAAACAGUGAGUAUUGCUAGGGAAGAACGCUUUCAUUCAGGUGACAUCAGCUAGAGAGAGGGGAGAUGAGUCUCAAAUCCAUCUCUUUCAACUGAUUAAAAUUGGGGUUUAUAUAGCAGGGAAAGAAUGUAGCUACCUAAAGUCAUGAUGGAUGAGAGAUCUGGCAUCUCAUUGUGUGGACACGAUGCUCUGGUGUUUUAGUUCCUUGCCUGAGGGUCAGUUUCCUGAAGAAGCAACUCCAAUGAGGUAAGUUUCAAGUUUUAACACUAGGGAGGGUCAAUUUCUAUGUUUAUUCAAAAAAACAGUCCACAUCAGUUCUUUGGGCCAGUUGAGCCAGUUAUAACUAGCUAUCAAGAAUGUCAAAGACUUUAAAAAAUGCUUUAUCCAAAGGAAAGGGUAAAAACUUAAAGCAAAACCAUAAUUUGAAAAUGUGCCUUACUUGCAAAACAGAUAAAUUGUGCCAGACCCAGCCAUGAUGUGUAUCACAGAUAAUCUAAAUUCAAACUUUUUUAACAUUGAUUCUUUUAGGCUCAUAUGUUGUAGAGAAGACCACAGAAAAGCUUACCUAAUGGUAGCUCUGUAUAGGCUUUUGUUCUAAAGAUAUAAUCACUGACACUUCCAGCAGCUCCCUAAUUUACAGAUUCUGAGAAAUCUCUAUCAAGACCAUCCUACAUUGCAGCACUGUUUACAAUAGCAAAGACCUGGAAUCAACCCGAAUGCCCAUUGAUAAUAGACUGGAUUGGAAAAAUGUGGCACAUAUACACCAUGGAAUAUUAUGCAGCAAUCAGAAAUGAUGAGUUUGUGUCGUUUGUAGCGACAUGGAUGAAUCUGGAGAACAUCAUCCUCAGCAAACUGACACAAGAACAGAAAAUGAAACACCGCAUAUUCUCACUCAUAGGCGGGUGAUGAAAAAUGAGAACACAUGGACACAGAAAGGGGAGUACUAAAC